GUUUUGCAGUGGACGUCACCAUCUUUAUGGGGGUUCUGGACCCCAGUCUGCUCCAUCCCAUGGGUGUGUCCCCUGUGCAGACUGUGCCACCCAUUCUCGGUGCUGUGUGUGUGUGGAGAUCUGGCACGAUGAACCUCCACGGCCCCUGUGGUUAAUCUGGUGUUUGGACUCGGACCAUUACCCAGCCUUCCAUCUGCACAGUUCCAGGAGCUGUGACUUCCAUGAGCAGUGAUGUGGCCAUCUUCUGCAGGACCCCUCUGGGAGUGACCAGUGUGCACCUAACCCAUUAUAUACCCAGUAUGUGUGCAAAGUGGUAUGAGUGAAUCCCACAAGGAUCCCAGGAAGUGUUUAAGUUCAGUCUGCAGAAUACGACACACACCAAUGCGGGGGUUUACUACUGUGGAUACUACAAGGAAGACCAAUGGUCAUGACUUAGUGGCAACUUGGAGCUGGGGGUGACAGUGUGUUUAAUAGAACAGAGGAUCUGGGCACAGCAUGGGCCACCACCCGAGCCUUCCAUCUGGGCAGUUCCAGGAGCUGUGAUUUCCACAGGCAGUGCUGUGACCAUCUUCUGCAGGACCCCUCCAGGAGUGACUUAUGUGCGUCUAACCCAUUAUGUGCAGGAUGGAAAGUGGUUUGAUUGCAUCCCACAGGGAGCCCAGGAGGUGUUUGAAUUCAGUCUGCAGAAUAUGACA